rnacentral:ncRNA from 1 species
UCUUUAGGCACUUGAACAUGCUUGGAUCACAUCUAGACAAAUAUAAGCAAAGUGAUGGAGGAAAAGAAGGCAAAGCAAAUUCUUGUAAUAGCAGUGAGUGACAUGAGAGUAGCCUUAACCGUGAAAACAGAGUUGUGGGAGAAUAACACAAGCGUUGUACUGCUAGUGAAACAAUGGAGUGUUGCACUAUAAAUGGUGAGAAUCUAGUAACCCAAAGCAUGCUAGCUUAGGCUCUAAGCUGUGUAGCAUGAGGCAUGUGGCAUCCCGUGUAAAUCAGUAAGGAUCACCUUGUAAGGUUAAAUGCUCCUAGAUGACACGUAACAAAGAAAUAUUGUGAGAAAAUGGUGAAAAGAAACCCAACCAAGAAGUGAAAUAAAACAUGAAA